GAUGAACGCUGGCGGCGUGCCUAAUACAUGCAAGUCGAGCGAACAGAUGAGAAGCUUGCUUCUCUGAUGUUAGCGGCGGACGGGUGAGUCACACGUGGGUAACCUACCUAUAAGACUGGGAUAACUCCGGGAAACCGGGGCUAAUACCGGAUAAUAUUUUGAACCGCAUGGUUCAAUAGUGAAAGACGGUUUCGGCUGUCACUUAUAGAUGGACCCGCGCCGUAUUAGCUAGUUGGUAAGGUAACGGCUUACCAAGGCGACGAUACGUAGCCGACCUGAGAGGGUGAGCGGCCACACUGGAACUGAGACACGGGCCAGACUCCUACGGGAGGCAGCAGUAGGGAAUCUUCCGCAAUGGGCGAAAGCCUGACGGAGCAACGCCGCGUGAGUGAUGAAGGUCUCCGGAUCGUAAAACUCCGUUGUUAGGGAGGAACAAAUUUGUUAGUAACUGAACAAGUCUUGACGGUACCUAACCAGAAAGCCACGGCUAACUACGUGCCAGCAGCCGCCGUAA
rnacentral:rRNA from 1 species